GUCACUGCUGUCAUUUUGCUCCAAUCAUCAUAGAAGAGACUCAGUUUCCAAUCCAUUCACUCACUGAAACCUAAUUAACCACUCCAUCGUCGUAUCAUCCUUCCAUUGCUUUGCUUUGUCAUAACCUCAUCCUUGUAACAUUGAGGUGUGAAUUGACACACUGAAAUAUUUGGAGAGGCACUCGAUUGUUGUCAAAACCUGCCAAAGUAGCAAAUAAAUGAAAAAUCUUAUUUUUCAUUUAUUCUUAUUACCGCAAGCAAAAUUAUAACGCUACAAGAAGGAGGCUUGAAAAGAAAGAAGAUGGAGAUGGAGAUGCGAAGCAUGGAAGAUACAGAGAUAGCCACAGACAUGACUCCAUCCCUCGUCCCUCUCACUUUCUCUCUCCACCACUCCAACCUCCACACUCACUGCUCCUCUUGUUUCUCUCUCCUCCCUCUCUCUCCCAUUCCCAUCACCCCCUUCCUCUACUGCCCCUCCGUCACUUCCUCUCGUGUCGCUGGCCUCCUCUCCAACCGCCACAAGCUCACGUGCCACAACAACUCCGACGAAGACGAGGUUUCCGAGAGAAUCAGCAGUGGAGUCAGAGCCUUGGCCACUGCAAUUACGGAGCUGCGAGGGGAGCUGGAGCCGGACGACGCCGUUUUGGAGGAGGCGGAGUGUGCAUUGUGCGCGGUGCUAACGAACGCCGUGGAGGUGCAGGAUAAGGAAGGGCGCGCACUGGGAAUCGCGGUUUAUGGUCCGGCGUUCUCUUGGAUCAACCACAGCUGCUCCCCCAAUGCCUGCUACCGCUUCAUCCUCUCUCCUUCUUCUUCUUCUUCUUCGCAGGAAUCCAAGCUUCGAAUAGCUCCAUCUUCCUUUCGCGGUUCUCCUGAUUCACGAGAAUUGUGCUGUUUUUUGCAGAUAGAUAGUGGGCUUUGUACUAUCACUAAUCAUUUUCAGAAAGUGAAUUGGGGUUACUUUUCUGCAUUAGAAGAAGAGGAGCAAAACCAAGGCUAUGGACCGAGAUUGAUUGUGAGGAGUAUCAAGAGAAUAAAAAAGGGACAAGAGAUUACCAUAGCAUACACUGAUCUCUUGCAAUCUAAGGCAAUGCGGCAAUUGGAUCUAUGGUCCAAGUACAGGUUUAUCUGCUGUUGCAUGCGAUGUAGUGUUGUGCCCUUCACAUAUGUUGAUCAUGCAUUGCAAGAUGUGGUCAUCACAAUCUGCAAUUUUCCCAAAACAUCUCAGGAAAUUUCUGUUUCCGGUUGUGAUUUUACUAGUUCAAGCUCCAGCUACAAUCUUGUCAGAGACACAGCAGAAAGAAGACUGAAUGAUUCAGUUGAUGAUAUUAUAUCUGAGUAUCUCAUGGCUGGUGAUCCUGAGCCUUGCUGUGAGAAACUUGAGAAGAUUCUUAUGCAGGGUCUGUGCGACGAGUUGGACAAUGUUGAAGAAACACCACAUUAUAAGUUCAUGUUGCAUCCCCUGCAUUACCUCUCUCUAAAUGCAUACACAACACUGGCUUCGGCAUAUAAAGUUCGUGCUAGUGAUAUCUUGUCUACAACUUCUACAAUAUAUCAAAACCAGUUAGAAGCUUUCGACAUGAGCAGAACCAGUGCAGCAUAUUCCUUGUUACUAGCAACUACAGCACAUCAUCUCUUCAAUUCCGAAUCCUCACUGAUUGCAUCUCUUGCAAAUUUUUGGACAGGUGCAGGCGAGUCUUUGUUGUAUCUUGCCAGAAGUUCAGAAUGGAGCAAGUUUUUCAAAUCAAGUCUGGUUGCUUCUUCGGUUUCCAAGGUCAAAUGUUCCAAGUGUUCAUUAAUGGAUACAUUCAGAGCCUAUAUAUGUAAUGGUAAAAUUAGGAAUGAUGAUUUUGAGAAUGCAUCAAAUGAGUUUCUUGAUUGCAUCUCCCAUGAUUCAACACAGAAGGUUUGGAGUUUCCUUGUCAAUGGUUGCCGUUUUUUGAGAUCGAUCAAGGAUCCUAUGGAUUCGGGCUGGUUAGUCUCUACCAGCAAUUCCAGAGCAACGGAUCCCGGAGCUCUGGCUAAGAAAAAAUCUGAAGUAUGUUACUUACACGAAUCUGGAAAUAGUAUCCAGACCUGUGAAGAACAAACUUGCAAUGAGAAUGCAAGGGUACACAUUUUUGAGCUGGGUGUACACUGCUUAGCAUAUGGAGGAUUAUUGGCUGCUAUAUGUUAUGGUCACCAUUCCCAUUUGGCUUCAUAUGUUGAACAGAUUCUGGAUGACAAAAACAAUCUUAUAUUAUAAAUUUAUAAUGCUUCCAUGAAGUAUUGACUUGGAAAUUAAUUUUUCUAGUUGAUACCUGUUCCUGAUAUUAGUUAAAAACUUCCAGUUCCAAAUGAAAAUAUUUUACAAAACAAUGGAUCACAUUUUUUUUGUCAAGUAGUGGACAGUUACGCUUUGUGUGGAUAGGCCCACAAGAGAAAAGCCCAUAGGAGUGGUAGUGGAGAGAGUGGAGACUGGGGAAUGGGGAGGGACCGAUUGGUAACUUCCUUUGUUCCCACUAUAUAUAGCGCACAUGCAAAGUUGUAAAUCCCUCAAACCCUAAUCGAUUUCCGCUGCUAAAAUCUAGAUCAUAUUCUCCAUUCUCUGGUUCUCUUCACAUUUUCGCCCAAAUUUUUAUCUGUUCAGGAAAAUCUUUGAAGGAGAUAUCUAAUUCUACUCGGAAAUAUCAGCUUUGUUGGUAUUGGACUAUUGGUAUCUGGAGCGGCGUUGUUCCUGCAUUGCUCUUCGCAGCUGUUGGCUGGGCUAGUUAGGAUAUAAAUAACCAUUUUGUAAUUUUACUAUAUUAUCCGAGCAUGUUGAUAAUAUAAUCUUAUUAUAAUUAUGUUGUGCUGUUGUAUUUAUUUAAUUUUUUGUUCUCGAUAUGACAUUCUCUCUGAUUCCAAAUAAAGUAGAGUUUUUCUUUAA